rnacentral:rRNA from 1 species
CACGGGGGGAGCAAGCGUUGUUCGGAAUCACUGGGCGUAAAGGGCGUGCAGGCGGUUCGGUAAGUGAGAUGUGAAAUGCCCCGGCUCACCCGGGGACCUGCAUCUCAUACUGCUGGACUUGAGUACGGGAGAGGAUGGGGGAAUUCCUGGUGUAGCGGUGAAAUGCGUAGAUAUCAGGAGGAACACCGGUGGCGAAGGCGCCCAUCUGGCCCGAUACUGACGCUGAGGCGCGAAAGCUAGGGGAGCAAAC